rnacentral:rRNA from 1 species
GAUGAACGCUAGCUACAGGCUUAACACAUGCAAGUCGAGGGGCAGCAUGUGGUUGCUUGCAACCAAUGGAUGGCGACCGGCGCACGGGUGAGUAACGCGUAUCCGAACCUGGCCCACAGUAGGGAACAGCCCGGCGAAAGUCGGAUUAAUGCCCUAUGUCUUCCUUUGCAGGCAUCCAAUGAGGAAGAAAGAUUCAUCGCUGUGGGAUGGGGAUGCGUCUGAUUAGCUUGUCGGCGGGGUAACGGCCCACCGAGGCUACGAUCAGUAGGGGUUCUGAGAGGAAGGUCCCCCCACACUGGUACUGAGACACGGACCAGACUCCUACGGGAGGCAGCAGUGAGGAAUAUUGGUCAAUGGGCGAGAGCCUGAACCAGCCAAGUAGCGUGCAGGACGACUGCCCUAUGGGUUGUAAACUGCUUUUAUGCGGGGAUAAAGUGAGGGACGUGUCCCGUUUUGCAGGUACCGCAUGAAUAAGGACCGGCUAAUUCCGUGCC